rnacentral:lncRNA from 1 species
GUUAGCCUAUCAGGGCCCACCAUUCCGGCCUCCAGGAUCCCUUCCCAGCCUGCCGUGCUGCAGCCGUCAACAGAGCCCGUGCUUCUACACCUGCAUUGCUUGCUGUUUGGUGUUUUAGGCUGGGUUUCUGUACAGCACUUUGAGAUAUCAGCUGAUGUACGAAGGGCUAUAUAAAUACAUUUGAUUUGAUUUGAGUCCGGCCCACAGGUCAGUGAUGACGCUGGAUGAUGCUGGUCACUAGUUUACAACGGAACCAUAAGCCAUCAAUGUCUUCACAUAAGAAUGAAAAUAUGGACUUUUUCCUUUUCCAUAUUUGACUGUCUACUUGUCCAAUACUGAUUUUAAGGAAGAUAUAUGGAAGAUUUUGCUUCUGGGGGUUAGGGUUCGCCAAAACGAGCUCCCUUUUAAAUGGACCAAUAUAUGGUCCAUAAACGAGCUGAUUGGCCAGAAAGGGACACACCUCUCCACACCCAUGAGCAAAUUGUAAUCUAUUGUUUACCUCAAACUAUUUAUGUGGUUACAUGUGAUGAGAAAUGGAAUGGCCUAAUGUUAUAUCACGUAUGUAUGUGAACAAUACAGCCAACAUUCAAGCCAAAAUGACACCUGUCCUCUCUCCUCCUGUCCCUCCAGGUCACGGAGGCUGCGGGCCAGGCUAGCCUGCUGAGGCAGCAGGAGGAGCUGGAGUGGAAGGCUGCAGACCUGGAGCACAGAGAGAAGGAGUUGCAGAACAGGGGAACCUCAACAGGUCACCCCCUUCUCCCCACACCAUAUACCUCUAUCCUUCCUCUCCUCUCACCAUAUACCUCUAUCCUUCCUCUCCCCACACCAUAUACCUCUAUCCUUCCUCUCCUCUCCCCACACCAUAUACCUCUAUCCUUCCUCUCCUCUCACCAUAUACCUCUAUCCUUCCUCUCCCCACACCAUAUACCUCUAUCCUUCCUCUCC